rnacentral:rRNA from 1 species
GAUGAACGCUGGCGGCGUGCCUAAUACAUGCGAGUCGAGCGAACGGACGAGAAGCUUGCUUCUCUGAUGUUAGCGGCGGACGGGUGAGUAACAAGUGGAUAACCUACCUAUAAGACUGGGAUAACUUCGGGAAACCGGAGCUAAUACCGGAUAAUAUUUUGAACCGCAUGGUUCAAAAGUGAAAGACGGUCUUGCUGUCACUUAUAGAUGGAUCCGCGCUGCAUUAGCUAGUUGGUAAGGUAACGGCUUACCAAGGCAACGAUGCAUAGCCGACCUGAGAGGGUGAUCGGCCACCCUGGAGCUGAGACACGGUCCAGACUCCUACGGGAGGCAGCAGUAGGGAAUCUUCCGCAAUGGGCGAAAGCCUGACGGAGCAACGCCGCGUGAUUGAUGAAGGUCUUCUGAUCGUAAAACUCUGUUAUUAGGGAAGAACAUAUGUGUAAGUAACUGUGCACAUCUUGACGGUACCUAAUCAGAAAGCCACGGCUAACUACGUG